GAUGAAGAACGUAGCGAAAUGCGAUAAGUAAUGUGAAUUGCAGAAUUCAGUGAAUCAUCGAAUCUUUGAACGCACAUUGCGCCCAUUAGUAUUCUAGUGGGCAUGCCUGUUCGAGCGUCAUUAAGUCCACUUAAGCCCUGCUUAGUGUUGGGAGACUGCUCCAGCGGUGCUACCCUGUAGCUACCCUGCAGCUCCUCAAAGACAGCGGCGGAGUUGUGGUAUCCUCUGAGCUUAGUAACUUGUUCUAGCUUUCGAGUACACCACUUCCCCUGCCGUAAAACCCUUAAUUUUUAAUGGUUGACCUCGAAUCAGGUAGGAAUACCCGCUGAACUUAAGCAUAUCAAUAAGCGGAGGA
rnacentral:misc_RNA from 1 species